AUUUGCAGAUGUGAUUCUGGAUGGAGCUCAUGAGAUUUAUGGCCAGUUUCCAAAUCCUUCAAUUCUUCUCUAAAGCCUGGGGUGGACCCUGGGGGAAGAGAGGAAGACAACAAAAUCACUUCAAUUGUCUUGUAGCACUUAUUCCAUUUCUAUUCAAAGCUAUACAGUUCCCUGCAAAGAGGCAAUUCUCUUCCAUCUGAAAAAUAAAAUUUGAAUUCUUCAAGACUUAACUGACAAUAACACCUUUUUAAAAAAACCUCUUUUGAAGCAAAGCCUCUAUGCAAGAUGAAUGGUUCUCCAUUUCUCAUCCUGUGACGACACGGGCAUAUUCUUGCAGAAGUAUACAAAACAUCCAGUGAGUUAAACAUAGGUGGGAAGGUAUAAGGGCAACACAGAAAAAAAUAUAUAUAUGUAAAUAUAUAUAUAUAAUUAUAUUUACUGAUGACUUGUUUAAGUUGUAAAAGGUUAUAUUGUUGCAUUUAAUACUCAUGACAAACUUACACAGAAAUUACUAUCAGCUCUAUGUUUUAGGUGAAACAACAGAAGUUUAAGAAGGUUAAAUAACUUCUCACAAUGACAGCUGGCAAAGGCAGAAUCAAGUCUACAUGAUUUAAAAGUUUUUGAACCCAGGGCCUCUAUGUCCUUCAAUUGUUAUUUAGCUUAUCCUUAAUUCUGACAAUAAACACCAGGAUUUGGGUUUAUUUGUAACAAAUAUUUUUGAGAAAAUUAUACUAAUUUAGUCUGUCUCUUGUGUAUUCCAGGUCUAAAAAAUUAUGAAAUCACAGAUUCUUCUUUCCAUUCAUACCCAUGUACCAUUUUCUUUCCCUCCCUCCCUCGCCCCUUCCCUCCCUCUUUUCUUCUCCACUUCCCUCCUAGGAUUAGAGCUUGAGGCCAAUAAGUGCCACAUAAAAGACAGCCAGUCUGCUUUCUGUUUUCUCUGAAGACUAUUUCUUGGACAGUUCAUUGAAAAAUCCUUAACAAUAUUGAUGUCUGGAGUAAAACAUCUACAAUAUGAAUAUUUCCCUUAAAAAUGUUACUUUAAAAUAGCUCUAAAGAUGAUAAAAAAUGACUAUCCCUCUCCUAUUUUUAAAACCUCUUAGUGAGAUUAAUUUUCUGAUUAUAAGUGAAACAGGCCCAACCUAAAAAAUGAAGCCAACAAAGUUAAAAAUUAGUUCAGAGGUAAAGACCGAGAAAGGGGAAUCAGGACAUAGGUAUUUUUUUUACAGCCACUUAGUUAAGGCCAACCCAGUUCUUGUGGCCCCUUAGGUGAGAGCAAAUGCUUUCUAUAUCUGAGAAUCUGAAAUCUACAGGAGACUUUCUCCUUCGCUAAGCCAAUGGGACAUGACACUCCACUAUACCGAUAAGAAAAUCUCAAGCACUAAGGUACUGCCAAACCACAGAAGCAACUUUGGAGUUGGCAAAUCACCCUGUGAAGAGUGCAGUACCCACCUCUUUCUCUCCAUCAUGUCUCUACAACAACAAAACUGCAAUUUUCAGAAUGUCCAAGUUAAAUUAUUCUUGUUAGAUAG